GCGAGGUGACGAUAAAAAUUCAAUAGUCAAUUGCUGAUAACAAUGAUGUUAUUGUGAAUCUCGACAGGUUCCGAUCGC